UGUAAUGACAAGGCAUUGCUAGAGACACUCAUCCACUUGCUUGCGAUCAGACCACACCUACAAUUUAGAAGUGCUCUGAUUAUAGCUCAACUACAGCUAGUUGGGGACAAUUUCCCCUUCGUUUGGUGGUGGCACGACCGUUGUUCAGCCUAGGCGACGUACAACUGUAUACCCAUUUGACUGUCGUUUUUUUUGUAUAUAUAUUCGAGAGAGCCACAACUGUAUAUUUUGUAUAGAUCCAUCCGAAUAAAUUAAUCAAAUCUAGUCAU